rnacentral:tRNA from 1 species
CGCCGGAUGUCCGAGUGAUUAGGUGGCUGUCUGCAAAACAGUUUAGGUGGGUUCGAUUCCCAUUCUGGCGUC